rnacentral:rRNA from 1 species
GAACGCUGSCGGCGUGCCUAAUACAUGCAAGUCGAACGAACUCUGGUAUUGAUUGGUGCUUGCAUCAUGAUUUACAUAGUGAGUGGCGAACUGGUGAGUAACACGUGGGAAACCUGCCCAGAAGCGGGGGAUAACACCUGGAAACAGAUGCUAAUACCGCAUAACAACUUGGACCGCAUGGUCCGAGCUUGAAAGAUGGCUUCGGCUAUCACUUUUGGAUGGUCCCGCGGCGUAUUAGCUAGAUGGUGGGGUAACGGCUCACCAUGGCAAUGAUACGUAGCCGACCUGAGAGGGUAAUCGGCCACAUUGGGACUGAGACACGGCCCAAACUCCUACGGGAGGCAGCAGUAGGGAAUCUUCCACAAUGGACGAAAGUCUGAUGGAGCAACGCCGCGUGAGUGAAGAAGUUUCGGCUCGUAAAACUCUGUUGUUAAAGAAGAACAUAUCUGAGAGUAACUGUUCAGGUAUUGACGGUAUUUAACCAGAAAGCCACGGCUAACUACGUGCCAGCAGCCGCGGUAAUACGUAGGUGGCAAGCGUUGUCCGGAUUUAUUGGGCGUAAAGCGAGCGCAGGCGGUUUUUUAAGUCUGAUGUGAAAGCCUUCUCAACCGAAGAAGUGCAUCGGAAACUGGGAAACUUGAGUGCAGAAGAGGACAGUGGAACUCCAUGUGUAGCGGUGAAAUGCGUAGAUAUAUGGAAGAACACCAGUGGCGAAGGCGGCUGUCUGGUCUGUAACUGACGCUGAGGCUCGAAAGUAUGGGUAGCAAACAGGAUUAGAUACCCUGGUAGUCCAUACCGUAAACGAUGAAUGCUAAGUGUUGGAGGGUUUCCGCCCUUCAGUGCUGCAGCUAACGCAUUAAGCAUUCCGCCUGGGGAGUACGGCCGCAAGGCUGAAACUCAAAAAUUGACGGGGGCCCGCACAAGCGGUGGAGCAUGUGGUUUAAUUCGAAGCUACGCGAAGAACCUUACCAGGUCUUGACAUACUAUGCAAAUCUAAGAGAUUAGACGUUCCCUUCGGGGACAUGGAUACAGGUGGUGCAUGGUUGUCGUCAGCUCGUGUCGUGAGAUGUUGGGUUAAGUCCCGCAACGAGCGCAACCCUUAUUAUCAGUUGCCAGCAUGUUGGGCACUCUGGUGAGACUGCCGGUGACAAACCGGAGGAAGGUGGGGAUGACGUCAAAUCAUCAUGCCCCUUAUGACCUGGGCUACACACGUGCUACAAUGGAUGGUACAACGAGUUGCGAACUCCGAGAGUAAGCUAAUCUCUUAAAGCCAUUCUCAGUUCGGAUUGUAGGCUGCAACUCGCCUACAUGAAGUCGGAAUCGCUAGUAAUCGCGGAUCAGCAUGCCGCGGUGAAUACGUUCCCGGGCCUUGUACACACCGCCCGUCACACCAUGAGAGUUUGUAACACCCAAAGUCGGUGGGGUAACCUUUUAGGAACCAGCCGCCUAAGGUGGGACAGAUGAUUAGGGUGAAGGUAACAAGGUAGCCGU